rnacentral:SRP_RNA from 1 species
GACGGGCCUUCCCACAUGGUGAAGUGGCCAACCGGGUCAGGUGGGGAACCAAGCAGCCCUAACUGUGGAUCCAGUGCUGGGGUCGAGGUCCGUCACC